GCCGAGGCCUUGACAGUGAUUUCUGGUCAGUCUCACUUGGUGAGAUGCAGCCUGUGGCGCCAGCCUGUCAGCCUCCUUUCUGUUCUGAUGAGGGAGGGAGAGGUCGUAUGAUGCAGGCUAAGUUCAAUUUUGUGGCUACAGAAAGGGCCGUGGAUGGUACUUUUACCAACCCCUUAUCAUCUGAUGAAUGACUCUGUCUGGAGAGCUAGAAUUCUAUCACCAUCACAUCCCCGCAGAGAAAUGAAUUACCUGAUAUACGCAACUUGGUGGAUAAAAUCUUUCAAGAUGGAGUUCUGAGCCCUUGAGGACCAUGUUGGAGUGUCUCCAGUCUGCUCUUAAAUUCCUUAUGUCGCUCAUAAAAGCCAGUAUGGCAGAGCCCAUAUGUCACAUUCCUGCUGCUCUAAAGAUGUCUUGUUGGUCCUGUCUGCCUGUCAGCCACCACUGUGUUCCUAAUAACUUCACCCCCAGCUCAGAUGGCCCCGAGAGACCACACAGCUGACCAUGGCAGGCCUUAGGCUGGGACGGAGUCAACAGAUGCUAGCCACCUGCCCUUUUGGCCACACCACAUCCUUGUCUGUGUUCCCCUGGUUUCAUUAUUCCUUCCUAAAGGGAACCUUCUGCUGGUUGUGCUGACCCAGCACCCACUUCUCCAUUGAACCCCAGUGUCAACUGCAGCUGCCAGAUGAGAGGGUUCCCAGAUCUGUGUGAAGUUCAGCAGUCUGAUUUACGCUUAGUUAUGUGCCACAUCAGCCCUAACGUCAAUGGUGACACUAAGAAAGCUAUUUCCUUCUUUCUUCCUUCUCUAAACCAUGCCCAUGUUCAAAACUCAACCCACUGCAGAAGAGUAAGUCAAGCGAUGGAUAAAGAAGUGAAAUAGCACCCAGCUCCUGCUGACCAUCAUGAGCUGCUUCAUAAGAGACAAUUAUCAGCCUUAUUGGCCCCAAGGAAGCAGGAAGAAGGAAGCUACUUGGAGAGCUCCCCCUGCCUUUGGCCACAGGUCAAAAGAUGGCAGGGUCAGAGCUGGCACACAGCCUACCCAAAUGCCGUUCCUCUCUGGAGUGAUGAGGGAUCACUUUUAGACUGUUUUUUUUUCCAUCUCUAAAAGAGGCAAUAAUAGAUUUGCUUCAAAGGAUGCUCAUGAGAUACAGUGAAAUGAUGUUUACAAGUAUGGCUUAUCUACAGAAGUAAAACAAAAGCCGAGCUGGGGUGGUGAGACGCCCACCUUCGUGGCCGAGCACAGCACACUCUCACCUCUAAAACACCCAUGCCUCCUGCUGCUUGAUCAAGAGUGUGCAUUUUCUCUCUCCAGCCUUGUCAAAGUUGCACACCUCCUUGUGUACAAGCAUCUUCUUUAACAAACUCACAUGCCCUGUGGCUCCCACAAUGCUCGAGUUCUUAUCCUGUACCCCAAGGCAUCACUCACCUCCAUACUAGGUGCUAAUACUGGGAUACAUGCUGACACGUGGACUUCAGAAUGACACCAUAAGACACCUGGAUUCUAAAAAUGGCUCCAUCUUCCCCAUCCCUGACUUUUCCCAUGUCCAUCUUAGUGAAUGUACCCUAACCCAUGACUCCUCUGGUCCCUCAUUCCCCACGUCCAGUUACCAAGCUCUAUAAACUCCACUUCUUGUACCCUGGACCAUCCUCUCCUGCUUCUGUGACCAUCAGUAUUUCAUGCCCAACAGAACUUCUUUUACUUAUCACAUCUUCAUUUAAUUUCAGACCAGCCCUGUGCCUGGCUCCAGUCCCUCUAUGACACACAUUCAAUUGUCUAACCUUGCUUGCCAUUAGAGGGAAAAUGCCACUAAGCUUUGAC
ensembl:lncRNA